UAGAGUUUGAUCAUGGCUCAGGAUGAACGCUGGCGGCGUGCUUAACACAUGCAAGUCGAACGAAGCACUUGAGAUUGAAUCUUCGGAUGAGAACUCUUGUGACUGAGUGGCGGACGGGUGAGUAACGCGUGGGUAACCUACCUCAUACAGGGGGAUAACAGUUGGAAACGACCGCUAAUACCGCAUAACCCGCUAGUAUCGCAUGAUACAGACGGAAAAGAUUUAUCGGUAUGAGAUGGACCCGCGUCUGAUUAGCCAGUUGGCAGGGUAACGGCCUACCAAAGCGACGAUCAGUAGCCGGCCUGAGAGGGUGAACGGCCACAUUGGGACUGAGACACGGCCCAAACUCCUACGGGAGGCAGCAGUGGGGAAUAUUGCACAAUGGGGGAAACCCUGAUGCAGCGACGCCGCGUGAGUGAGGAAGUAUUUCGGUAUGUAAAGCUCUAUCAGCAGGGAAGAAAAUGACGGUACCUGACUAAGAAGCCCCGGCUAACUACGUGCCAGCAGCCGCGGUAAUACGUAGGGGGCAAGCGUUAUCCGGAUUUACUGGGUGUAAAGGGAGCGUAGACGGCUAAUCAAGUCAGAAGUGAAAACCCAGGGCUCAACCUUGGGAGUGCUUUUGAAACUGAGUAGCUAGAGUGCAGGAGAGGUAAGCGGAAUUCCUAGUGUAGCGGUGAAAUGCGUAGAUAUUAGGAGGAACACCAGUGGCGAAGGCGGCUUACUGGACUGUAACUGACGUUGAGGCUCGAAAGCGUGGGGAGCAAACAGGAUUAGAUACCCUGGUAGUCCACGCCGUAAACGAUGAUUACUAGGUGUCGGGGGACCAAGGUGCUCCGGUGCCGCGCAAACGCAUUAAGUAUCCCACUGGGGAGUACGUUCGCAGAAUGAAACUCAAG
rnacentral:rRNA from 1 species